CUCUGUUGAGCCUUUUAUGUCCCUCUCAUUUAAUGCCCACAACAAUCUAAACAAAUAGAUACAGUUAUUCCCAUUUUUAAAUAGGGGUCAAUUUUUAACUGAGGCCCAGACAGUUGCCUCAGUUUCUUGGUGUCACAGAGCUGGUAAAUGGUGGAGCUGGGACUUGUUCAUCUCAACAGGAACAGAGGAAGAGGCAAUGGACUCAGAUGCAGGGAACUCUGCAGGCCGUGACCCGGCAGCUGGUUCUUGCUGAGCUUGCAAUGAUCUUGCCAUGAUCAAUGUGGACAGCCACUCCAGCACUGUCCCCACAGUUUAGAAGACGAGACUGGAUUCGUUGGAAGUAGCCGAA
rnacentral:lncRNA from 1 species